rnacentral:rRNA from 1 species
GACGUAGGGCGCGAGCGUUGUCCGGAUUUAUUGGGCGUAAAGAGCUCGUAGGCGGCUUGUCGCGUCGGCUGUGAAAUCCCGUGGCUCAACUGCGGGUCUGCAGCCGAUACGGGCAGGCUAGAGUUCGGCAGGGGAGACUGGAAUUCCUGGUGUAGCGGUGAAAUGCGCAGAUAUCAGGAGGAACACCGGUGGCGAAGGCGGGUCUCUGGGCCGAUACUGACGCUGAGGAGCGAAAGCGUGGGGAGCGAACAGG